AGUGAACGCUGGCGGUAGGCCUAACGCAUGCCAGUCGAACGGCAGCACAGUAAGAGCUUGCUCUUACGGGUGGCGAGUGGCGGACGGGUGAGGAAUACAUCGGAAUCUACUUUUUCGUGGGGGAUAACGUAGGGAAACUUACGCUAAUACCGCAUACGACCUACGGGUGAAAGCAGGGGAUCUUCGGACCUUGCGCGAUUGAAUGAGCCGAUGUCGGAUUAGCUAGUUGGCGGGGUAAAGGCCCACCAAGGCGACGAUCCGUAGCUGGUCUGAGAGGAUGAUCAGCCACACUGGAACUGAGACACGGUCCAGACUCCUACGGGAGGCAGCAGUGGGGAAUAUUGGACAAUGGGCGCAAGCCUGAUCCAGCCAUACCGCGUGGGCGAAGAAGGCCUUCGGGUUGUAAAGCCCUUUUGUUGGGAAAGAAAAGCAGCAGGUUAAUACCCCGCUGUUCUGACGGUACCCAAAGAAUAAGCACCGGCUAACUUCGUG
rnacentral:rRNA from 1 species